AACCUGGUUGAUCCUGCCAGUAGUCAUAUGGCUUGUCUCAAAGAUUAAGCCAUGCAUGUCUAAGUAUAAACAUUUUAUACUGUGAAACUGCGAAUGGCUCAUUAAAUCAGUUAUAGUUUAUUUGAUGGUACCUUACUACUCGGAUACCCGUAGUAAUUCUAGAGCUAAUACGUGCGUAACUCCCGACUUCUGGAAGGGAUGUAUUUAUUAGAUAAAAGACCGACCGGGCUUGCCCGUUUUCCGGUGACUCAUGAUAACUUCACGAAUCGCAUGGCCUUUGCGCUGGCGAUGUUUCAUUCAAAUUUCUGCCCUAUCAACUUUCGAUGGUAAG
rnacentral:rRNA from 1 species